rnacentral:rRNA from 1 species
UACGGAGGGUGCAAGCGUUAUUCGGAAUUAUUGGGCGUAAAGAGCGCGUAGGCGGCCUGUCAAGUCAGGUGUGAAAUCCCGGGGCUCAACCCCGGAAGCGCAUUUGAUACUGUAGGGCUUGAGUAUGGGAGAGGGAAGUGGAAUUCCUGGUGUAGCGGUGAAAUGCGUAGAUAUCAGGAGGAACACCGGUGGCGAAGGCGGCUUCCUGGACCAAUACUGACGCUGAGGCGCGAAGGCGUGGGGAGCAAACAGG